rnacentral:lncRNA from 1 species
CACCUUUAAUCCCAGCACUCAGGAGGCAUAGGCACGCAGAUUCCCUGAAUUUCUUUUAGACAGGACAAAUUGUGGGUGGAAAGUUUUCUGGAUAGGUUGGUUUCCUUACCUUUCCACUGUGGCUCUUACCUAGCUACAGGAGGUGUCCUCCUCUGGUUCCAUGUCCCUAGCUCCAUAAUUAUUUCUAUAUAAUUAUGACAUUUUAAAAUACACUAUGCUAACAAUAUUUCUGGAAUAAAGCUUGAACACAUACCUUUUUGUCUCUAGAUGGUCCAUCCUUUCGUCACAGCUCCAAACUUUGUCUCUGUAACUCCUUCCAUGGGUGUUUUGUUCCCAAUUCUAAGAAGGGGCAAAGUAUCCACACUUUGGUCUUCGUUCUUAUUGAGUUUCAUGCGUUUAGCAAAUUGUAUCUUAUAUAUUGGGUAUUCUAAGUUUCUGGGCUAAUAGCCACUUAUCAGUGAGCACAUAUUGUGUGAGUUCCUUUGUGAUUGGGUUACCUCACACAGGAUGAUGCCCUCCAGGUCCAUC